GUUUUUCAGUCUGUACUGGCAGCGAAUCAUACAUAGCUUAGUUUAUCAGACAAGCUGCUUUUCUUGAGCAAAGAAAGAACUAGGAGAGAAACGGGGCUUUGGAACCCUGAUGCGGCAAUGCUGAAAGAGGAGAAAUAUCCCAAGGAAGGGAAAGGUGUGUUGCAGAACGAUGAAAAAUAGGCGGCUUCUCACAGCUGUUCUCAGGGGACGAGACGGGGUGGGAUGCAGCUCCGCCGGUGCCUAACACUAAGGGCCCUCAUCCUGCCGAUUCAGUUGUGUCGGGACCGCCAGUGCUGUCUCCUCGUCAGAUGCUGCUUCUGGUCUCCCCGCAGAAGAUGCCACUGGAGUUGCCUUUUCAAGGAUGGGGACAUUUGAAGGCCCUGGACGCUCAGCUCUGAGGCUGGCUGGGAUCUCACUAGCACCCCCUGGUGGAGGCCGGAGCCAGGCUGACGCGGGAAAGUGGGGCACGGAAGCGCUGCGGAUUGGACCGGCGGCAGCUAGGCCGAAACGCCUGUAUUUAAAGGGAUAGUAACUCGGACUCGUUCUGCAAUAUCCCCACAAGGGCCUGACUGAGCGAGCGAGCAUGGACGGCCGCGGGGCUUUCUGGACAGUGGCCAUUCCCAGAGCCAGGCAGGAAGGCCUCGGGAGGCUGGGGCUCCCGUUCCCGGUGAAGCGGACGCCGCCAGCGCCCCAGAACCCAGGAGGAAGCACACAGGCCCCACAGAGAGUGGUUGGCAAGAGUCACUCGGGGAUUAGGAUGCCGGCCAAAUCGCGGAAUUUGAGGCUGGAAUCCAAGCUCAACAGGAAAGUAGUGAAAUACAAAUGGGGAAAACAGGGCUCUGGAGCGGGGAGGGAGCUGGUGCCGGCAUUUCCCACCAACGCCGGUUUAGGAAGACGGGACCGAUGCCGGCCGCCCCCUGCUGGAGGGGAUGUGGCAUCUCACGGGCUGCCAGGGAGCGGGGUUGGCUACUCCUGCAACCAGCGUGAAGAGGGUCUCAGGGGAGGCUGUGGUGGGAUCCCCCACGUGCCCUUGUUCCUCUCACCGUUACCUCUGGAUGCCUCGGGGCAAAGGCCUUCUUCCACCUAUAGACAGAGUCUACGCAGGGGUCUUGGAACCCGGGCACACCAGUCCCCAGCUAACGAAAUCCCCGAGUUGGGGGAUUUGAGAGGGUCACGUUUGGCCCAAGAACCCGCAGUCCUCUUUGGUCUUCGGCCCUCUAUUUCUAAGCGUGGGCUUCUGGCACGGCGGCUCUGGGCACAGCCCAUGCUGCUUUCGGGCUGGGUGGUUUCAACGACGACAACAAUUAUCACAGUGACGGUGACCUUCACCCCAACAGGACUGCUGUGUGUGAAGCACUCAAGAGGGCCCCUACAACCAACCUGCCAGGAGUCGGCUCCUGAAAACAGGGUCGGAAAAGGUCAGUGCCCAUCAGAAUCGAGCUGUCGGCAAAAAGCUGGAGAGGUUAGGAGCUUUGUCUAUCUCAAGGGUAACAAACUGCUUUGACCCUGAGGGCUCUGAAGACGACUUUCCCUCACCGCAGCUCUCAAGACAACAGGGAUCAGACUCAGAAAGACACUGCCUGUAUAAGGCUCUUGUUUGUCUUGUUUUUAAUUCCUGCCCUCUGCCUCCAGAUCUCAGUCCUCUAUCUGUGAAACGGAAUUCGGCCUUGCCUGUCCACGAAAUGAAGACAAGGCAUCUCGUGUGUGUUAAGAUGAAACAAGAUCUUAGCAAGAGAGUAAUGAUUUCUUUUUUAAAACAUUUUUUACUGUAGUAAAAUGUACUAUAACGUAAAAUUACCAUUUCAAUCAUUUGUAAGUUCAGUGGCAUUAAGUACAUUCACAUUGUCGGGCAGCUGUCAGAGGUGUUCGAACCAGAGCGACUCCAUCUUGAACAGGUGCUGCGCAAAAUGAGGCUGAGACCUGCUGGGCUGCAUUCCCAGGAGGUUAGGCAUUCUUCGUCACAGGAUGAGUCAGUGGCUGCCAGGGAGGCAGGGGUCUGGCACUCUUCCUCAUGCUUACGAGAUGGCUGCUGGAAUUCCAGGAAUCACAUGCAAAUUCUAGUCAGGAGCAAAGAGGAAGAGACACAGUGAAAAGGGGUAUACAGCGGCAGAAGGAAGCUCCUCAAAUGAACUCUGCUAGAACUCUAGCCAGUAGCUUCUCCUUCUAUCACAGUGGCCAGAACUGUGACAAGUGACCAUCCUUAGGGGAAAAAAGAUGCUGAGAAAUGUGAAUUUUGUUGCCACCUUACAUUUUCAAAGGAGUUCCAUUCGUAAGUACAGAACGCUCAGAGAAGAGGCAGCAGAUCUAGGAUAUGGAGCAGCAGCUCUUAAGGGCACAGUGGGAAGGUUUCAAGACUGAGGAGGAUCUUGGAUUUGGGUAGGGGAAGGCAGUUCACAGUAUUGUGGAGGAAAUGCUGUGAAAGAGAAAGUGGAAGGCAUGGAAGCUUAAACUUUUAAUAUGACUGGUGAAUACAAGGAUGAAGGGCAAAGGGAAUUCAGACUCAUGGUGGUCAGAUUAAGACCUUCAGCGGCUCUGUCUCCCAGCCCCACAUACCCACUUCCAUGUUCUGCUCUUUACUGAAGCUGAAAGUCUGCAACCUUCAUUCUCUGACUCCCUUACAUUUUCUUAGGCUUCUUGCUAGCUUCUGCCAAAAAGAGGCCCUGGCAGGAGAUUAGAUGGCAGGAGGCAGAGGUAAGGAUUCCAUGUUAACAGGUGCUGGAAGUUGCUGGUGUGGCAAUGAGAACUGGGCCCCGGUCAAGGCAGCACUACUUUGGUAGAUCCAGAAUCAACCAUGAUAACCGUGACAGUGUCUUCAACAGUGCAGCAGUAGACACAGGCCCCUGGUGCUGGAAUCCAAUACAGGGACAGGAGCAGCACGGAGUCACGGAACACCGUCUUGCCUUCAUGUCACUUUACCAUUUCUUCUUUCUCCCUCUUACUCUACCAGCUACCUGUGGAGAUGUUGAACCUUUUAUCUGUCGCUGUCUGCUUAGGAACAGAAGAAAAGGCAGCUGAUUGCUUGACUCAGCUUUCAGCUUGAUUUUUUUCCUUUGGCAGAGUGAAUUGGGGUCCCAGGUGUUCAUUUUCCUUUUGUAGUACCUUUCCUCAGCAUGCAAUUAAUACAAAAAGAACAAUAAACCUUAACAAAGUUUGGCUUGUAUUAUUCCAGACUUUCCUCUUGGAUUUUAUGUACACUUAUCUGAAUCCAUGCAGAUCAUGUCAUGUGUGUCUGUGUGUUUAUACACAUUUUUUUUUCGGUGUGCCUCAUUCUGCAACUUGAUUUUUUAAAAAAUUCGAUAACUGAUCUUGGAGAUCUGUCCAUGUUGUUACAUAUAUGAGAUUUUUGUAUUUCCUUUAAUUAAUGGUGUUCAAGUAGCCGUUUAUGUAACGAUGAACAUUCAGGUUUUUGCAAUUUUUUGCUCUUAAUAAGGUGCCCUGGUGAACAAACAUUCUUGUACAUGUGCCAGAGUUUCUCUGGAGUAAUUAACCAGCGUGGAAUUACAGAGUUGUAGAAUGUGUGCAUUUUUAGUUUUAUUAAAACUAAAAAGUAAAACUUUAAUUUUA
ensembl:lncRNA SPATA41 spermatogenesis associated 41